CCUACGGGUGGCAGCAGUGAGGAAGAGGGGGCAAGGGGCGCGAGCCUGAACCAGCCAAGUAGCGUGAAGGAUGACUGCCCUAUGGGUUGUAAACUUCUUUUAUAGGGGAAUAAAGUGCAGUAUGUAUACUGCUUUGCAUGUACCUUAUGAAUAAGGAUCGGCUAACUCCGUGCCAGCAGCCGCGGUAAUACGGAGGAUCCGAGCGUUAUCCGGAUUUAUUGGGUUUAAAGGGAGCGUAGGCGGGUUGUUAAGGCAGUUGGGAAAGUUUGCGGCUCAACCGUAAAAUUGCAGUUGAUACUGGCAUCCUUGUGUCCAGUAGAGGUAGGCGGUAUUCGUUGUGUAGCGGUGCACUGCUUCGCUCUCC
rnacentral:rRNA from 1 species